CCUACGGGUGGCUGCAGUGGGGAAUAUUGGACAAUGGGCGAAAGCCUGAUCCAGCCAUGCCGCGUGUGUGAAGAAGGCCUUCGGGUUGUAAAGCACUUUCAGUGGGGAAGAAAGCCUUGGGGCUAAUACCCUCGAGGAAGGACAUCACCCACAGAAGAAGCACCGGCUAACUCCGUGCCAGCAGCCGCGGUAAUACGGAGGGUGCGAGCGUUAAUCGGAAUUACUGGGCGUAAAGCGCGCGUAGGCGGUCUGAUAAGCCGGUUGUGAAAGCCCCGGGCUCAUCCUGGGAACGGCAUCCGGAACUGUCAGGCUAGAGUGCAGGAGAGGAAGGUAGAAUUCCCGGUGUAGCAGUGAAAUGCGUAGAGAUCGGGAGGAAUACCAGUGGCGAAGGCGGCCUUCUGGGCUGACACUGACGCUGAGGUGCGAAAGCGUGGGUAGCGAACAGGAUUAGAUACCCGAGUAGUC
rnacentral:rRNA from 1 species